CAGUCGCCGCGGGAAUACGUAGGUGGCAAGCGUUGUCCGGAAUUAUUGGGCGUAAAGGGCUCGCAGGCGGUUUCUUAAGUCUGAUGUGAAAGCCCCCGGCUCAACCGGGGAGGGUCAUUGGAAACUGGGAAACUUGAGUGCAGAAGAGGAGAGUGGAAUUCCACGUGUAGCGGUGAAAUGCGUAGAGAUGUGGAGGAACACCAGUGGCGAAGGCGACUCUCUGGUCUGUAACUGACGCUGAGGAGCGAAAGCGUGGGGAGCGAACAGGAUUAGAUACCGCGUAGUCCCUGUCUCUUAUACA
rnacentral:rRNA from 1 species